CAUAAUGAUGAACGAACAUGCGUGAACAAUCUCUGAGUAGACCAAAAGUCUGCGUAGGAUUAUAAAACCUGUUGCCUUCCUUCUGAUG
rnacentral:snoRNA from 1 species